ACAACUCCUUAAGUGCUACAAAAAAAUAUUUCUUUAUGAGAUGGUGAGGUUUAUAAAUGAAUCAAAUCUUAUUCUAUUUGUUAUAUUAAAAGUACAGAAAAUAUGGUAGCAGUUCUCAAGUUUAUAUAUGCUAUGUUGCUAUUUACUUCUUUAUUCCUUUUUGCAACGAACAUUGCCGAAUAUAUUGAUUGUGUAGAUGAAACACAAUGCCAAGAAAAAUACAAAUGCGCUCCUGAUUUGUAUCUGAAGUGUGUUGAUACUUGGUGUCACUGUUUGAAAAACUAGGACAAAAUGCCUUAAAUUGAUGAAUAAGUGAUCAAGCUAGCAUAAUAUCUAUGUAAAAAUUGAUGAAUAAGUUAUCAAGCUUGCUAGCAUAAUAUCUAUGUAAUAAUAAGUCCUAAAUGUGAUCAUAUAUAUAUAUGGUGUCAUCUAAUUAUUAUGGUGGUAUCAAGUAAAUGUAUUUUAUAUUUAUUUCUUUUUUCUA